rnacentral:misc_RNA from 1 species
UGGAAAUGCCUCUUCAUUUGCAGGUCCCUUUUCUUUCCUUUUCCUUUUUUUUUUCAGCGUAGGAAUUAAUUUUUCUGAUUCUGCUUUCUUAGCAAAACCUUAAUUAAUUUAUUUUUUUUAUUUUUCGAUAUAUGGGUUUUUCUUCUAUUUUUUCUUGACAAUUUAACAUAAUAAACAUUUGCCUGUCUGUCUGUUUUUUUUCAUGUCAAGGACAGAAGAACUUCAUUUUUAUAGGCUAGGAUUACACCAUCAAAUUUAGUAUAAUUCGUAGUAAUUAAUUAUUGUUCAUAAUUUUCUGUUACUUUAAUAGAAUAGUUUUUAUUUUUAGAUUAAUUUAGAAAAAUAGCUGGUCCAUAUCACUUCACCAUUAAUUGAAAAGAAUUUGUUUAUUUAUGCUAGUAUUAGCUUCAGUUUUUUAAUUCUUUUGUGAGAUAAAUUAUUUUGUUGGUAAUAUUUUAAUUUACUUCGUAAUUAAUUGAUAGUAUAACGGAUCAUCAUUAUUACAAUUCCAAACUCUACGCAUUUAAUAACUAAAUUAAUUAUCUUGACACAAAAUUAAUUUUUUUUUUUAUAAUUAAUGGUAUCACGUGAUAGUUUUUUUUUUAUAAGAUCAUUUACGUCGUGAUUAAUGAAUUUUAAAAAGAAUACAUUAUUAUUUUUGUCUUUUCUUAAAUUUAAAUUCUUGGGAUGAGUUCUCAGCCCUUGGGGUUGAUGGGUAUAAUCUCUACUUAAAUUCGGUGAAUUCAAAAUAUUUAAGUCUAAAUAAUUUUUUUUCAUAAACUCAUUAAUUAGAUAAAUAUAAGAUUGUAUUUGGUUGUGAAAAUGAGAGAAUUGAGCUUCAUAUGCAGACAGCAGCGAUGGUGUAUCAGCAGAGGUGCAACUCUCCAAAUUCACCAUUGUCUUCAUCGUUUGCAAAGAGGAACGAUAAUAAAGAUACAGAAAAAACCAUCCAAGACAAUAAAGAAUGUCCACCAUUGAAAUUCUUGGAAGAAAGCUGCCUGGAAUUGAAGCUUCUUCCUUCCAGCCAUUGCCAAAGUGUCUGUACACUUGACAAGGUUAAGUCUGCUCUACAGAGGGCGGAGAAAGAAACCAUUAGCAAGAAACGAUCAUCACUUCCAUCACACAUUGAACAAGAAGAACAACAACAAGAAAAAGGUGGUAAAAGUAGCGGCGGCGGCGGCGGCGGCGGUGAUGGUGAUAAUGGGAUGUUUGCUGCAGGGUGCCCUGGCUGUUUCAUGUAUGUGAUGACAUUGAAGACUAACCCUAAAUGCCCUCGCUGCAAUUCCACUGUUCUAUCUCCAUCUCUGUUGAAGAGGCCAAGGAUUGAUCUGAAUGCAUGAUCACUUUGAUUUUCCAGUUUAUAGUAUAUGGUUAAUUGCUAAGUAGACUAUUAUUAUUCUACUUUGCUCUCUUUUUGUUUUUCUUCAAUUUCUUUCAAAUAUUCUGAUUUUGUGAAUAAAAAAUAGGUUUUAUUUAUUGUUAGAUAUGUAUAUUUUUAAAUUUGAAAUCAAUUGUAGGAUGGGGUAGCCAUGAUAAUGGUUAAGAGGGUUGAAAUUUGGUUUGUAGCUAAUUGGAAGUAUGGAUUUAGAGACUUUUACUUGGAUGUAUAUGUUAGGCGGCAUGUGAUUGAUAUUUUGGAUUUAUGUUGGCACUGAAUUUGUGGGGA